rnacentral:rRNA from 1 species
CCCGUGAACCUUUACUAUAGCUUGACACUGAACAUUGAGCCUUGAUGUGUAGGAUAGGUGGGAGGCUUUGAAGUGUGGACGCCAGUCUGCAUGGAGCCGACCUUGAAAUACCACCCUUUAAUGUUUGAUGUUCUAACGUGGACCCGUGAUCCGGGUUGCGGACAGUGUCUGGUGGGUAGUUUGACUGGGGCGGUCUCCUCCUAAAGAGUAACGGAGGAGCACGAAGGUUGGCUAAUCCUGGUCGGACAUCAGGAGGUUAGUGCAAUGGCAUAAGCCAGCUUGACUGCGAGCGUGACGGCGCGAGCAGGUGCGAAAGCAGGUCAUAGUGAUCCGGUGGUUCUGAAUGGAAGGGCCAUCGCUCAACGGAUAAAAGGUACUCCGGGGAUAACAGGCUGAUACCGCCCAAGAGUUCAUAUCGACGGCGGUGUUUGGCACCUCGAUGUCGGCUCAUCACAUCCUGGGGCUGAAGUAGGUCCCAAGGGUAUGGCUGUUCGCCAUUUAAAGUGGUACGCGAGCUGGGUUUAGAACGUCGUGAGACAGUUCGGUCCCUAUCUGCCGUGGGCGCUGGAGAACUGAGGGGGGCUGCUCCUAGUACGAGAGGACCGGAGUGGACGCAUCACUGGUGUUCGGGUUGUCAUGCCAAUGGCACUGCCCGGUAGCUAAAUGCGGAAGAGAUAAGUGCUGAAAGCAUCUAAGCACGAAACUUGCCCCGAGAUGAGUUCUCCCUGACCCUUUAAGGGUCCUGAAGGAACGUUGAAGACGACGACGUUGAUAGGCCGGGUGUGUAAGCGCAGCGAUGCGUUGAGCUAACCGGUACUAAUGAACCGUGAGGCUUAACCUU